GCAAAGAGACACUGAGAGUACAGCUCUGGGAGUUUGAACUGGACGGCUAUGAUGCUGACGUCAGGCCUCUUCUUCAGCUGGUGUGGGAGGUGAACAACAGCAUGAAGAUGAGAGACAUUGAGUAUGAAGCCAGAAGGCUGCUCAGCUGUC